ACUAUUUUGACAGAGAAAAUGUAAUGAUUUUAGAAGUCAUGAAUAUAUAAGAUAAUUUAUAUAUAUAGUA
rnacentral:tRNA from 1 species